rnacentral:other from 1 species
AUUUCUCUGAGAUGUUUUGCAAGCGGGCCAGUCCCUGAGCUGAUAUUUCAUACCACAAGAAUGUAUACAGCUCCCGCGGUUGGUGAGCAUGCUCGGUUCGUCCGGAGAAGCCUUAAAACUGUGAUUUAUCAUAUCUACCUGAACCAAGGGUUCGGUGGUUGCUCGCGGCGGCAGACCGGAGGAGAA